UGUCAGGCAGCGGCGCUCCACUGUACGCGUACAGCCCCAUAGUGCAGCAGCCUGAGAACACUCAUUCGCUCCACUUUUCCUCUUGCUUAGGCCCUAUAUGUGGAGCCAUCUGGACGUGGAGAGAGGGAGUCAGCUGCUCCACACACUGAGGCGCGGAGCCUGAAUCCGUCUCAGCUCAUUCUGUGGGAUCAUCUGCGUGGUGGGCUUACACCGUGGAAAAUGCGCUCUUCAUCAUUAGGUGAAAUGUUAGCGUCAAAAUAAAAGAAAUGUUGAUCCCUGUUUGUUUUAGUGGUUGCAUGCAUGAAAAACUUUGCACGAGAGAGGAAUUAGAGGAUCUUAGUCACAUUUUCUCCCUUUUUUUUAUUCCCCUGCUUGAAAAAAAAAAAAAGAAAAGAAAAGGAAAAAAAAAACCCAGCCUCUAUGCAGCAGGCUGGAGGUAAGUGAUGGGUGACAAGAAGGGAAACAAGUGCGAAGAAUUUCUGAUCUCAGCAUCUUGGGCGCUUUGCGCCACGCUGAAUGCUCGUUUAAAUGAGCGGCUGAUGACACGGGGGCCUCUUAUCUCCUUCUCCUAUUCACUGACCACAAUGAAUGAACCCCCAAAGAUUUGAGCCCCGGCCACUGAUAGCAGCCCAAACUCCCCGGGAC